AUUGCUCUCUACAACUACCUGAAGGGAGGUUGUGUUGAGAUGGAAGUUGGCCUCUGCUCCAGGAUAACAGCAAUGGAAUGAGAGGUCAAGUUGCACCAGGGAGAUUCAGCUUCUAAGGUUAAUCUUUCCAUGUGGAGAGACUUUCUGGAUAGAUCAAUCCCUGAAAUGAUGAGCCUUCCUCGGAGGGAAUUUUAGAGCAUGGUCUAGGAUGGACAGGAUAAAUCACACAUUCAAGGAGAAAUUUCAUGGAAUGGCAGUGUUUUGACAGUUAGAAGUCUUUCAGGCACCAAGCAAGACUACUGAAAGUUUUUAAGUCUACGGCUCAUAGCAGUACUUCUUUUCCUUUUCCAAGAAGGUUAUCUACUCAUUAAAGAGGAAUUACAUCAGUUGCACUGUUUUUUAUAUACAGGUAAGGGAAGAAAUCUAUUCAGACUGGAAAAGGCGGAUGGGAUUUUGUGUACUGGGUUUGCAGGAGAUGAUUCUGAAGACUGACUGAGAAGCUAAUUCAUUGGUCGCUUGAAAAUAAGUCUGAACUCGCUAAGGUCUGUUCAGUGACUGAGUCAAACUGCUACUAAAUUCUGAAUAAAUAUUUAUGUGGCUCAUUUCUGCCGUACUAAGACUGCACGCUAAAUAUGUCUGCGUGUCAAUCUAACCAAAAUAAAACCAUUACAUAGGUCUGAAUUUUAUUGAACAUGUGAUAAUUUUAUUUGACAUGAAAAAUUAAAAGCACUCGGAAGGUCUGACAAAGAUCUGGUGUUUAAAACUUAUCCUCAUCUUCCCAGAGGAACACUUUCCUGAGCCUUGGCAGUUUUAACCUGCUUUGGCUUUUUGAUUUGUAAACAUUCAUCGGUAUCUCUACACUUUUCUGCAAAUCUGCUCAAGAACAGUUUAUAUAAUAUUCAUUUUUAGUACAUAAGGGAGAAAUUAAGAGUCUUGCCAACACUUCCUAGAAUGUGUUGUCAUUUUUUUUUUCUGUCGAUGAACAAGUUACUCCCAUCUUUUGCUAACAGUUCAAUGCUUUGUCUUUUAUAAUAGCCAUUCAGUCGAUCUUGCAAUGAGAGUUUUGAGUAAAAUAUUCCUUAAGAAUUACUCCUGCUUCAUGUGAUCAGCUUUUUAUAUGAGUCUGUCAAAAAAAGCCUUCUGUUACUUUUGCCUAUUCCUCUACCCUUUUGGAAACCUCUCCAUCUCCAAUAAAUAAUCCCCAGAUUAUCUCUGCAGUUCCCAAGGGUUUUGCACAUGCCCUAAAAGUUUCUCAUGAAUCAUGGAAAUUCAGUGAAAUCAUUGAACAUCUUGGCAUUACCUGGGAGAAAUGAGAAGUCUUAAAAGAGGCUUGGUCUAGACUGUAACAAUACAUCCUGGUCAAGACACACUGAGCUUUCAAAGGAAUGGAAGUAUUAAAAGUAGUAUUAACUACAAUGGCAGUUUGAGUCUGAUGUUAACAAUUUAGGCUAAGGGUUUCAAGUAAUAAUGCUGAAAAAAGAGAUUGUUGACAGCUAACUGGUUGAACUGUGACAUUUCUUGUGUAUAUUUUUACACUAAGAGCAAUUUAGACUAAAAUUUACUGUUGAGAGUUGUUGAUAUGUUUGACCUUAACCAAAAUAGUAGUAUUAAAUUAUGUAAUCAUC
ensembl:lncRNA